GAUGAACGCUGGCGGCGUGCUUAAUACAUGCAAGUCGAACGGAAAGGCCCUGCUCUUGUUUGUUUCUCGUUUGGCGCACGGGUGAGUAACACGUGAGUAUCCUGCCCCUGACUUUGUGAUAACUUUACGAAACUCGGGCUAAUACCGCAUAGGAUCUCCUGCUCCAUGUUGGUGGUUGGAAAGUUUCGGCGGUUGGGGAUGGACUCGCGGCUUAUCAGCUUGUUUGUGAGGUAGUGGCUUACCAAGGGUUUGACGGAUAGCCGGCCUGAGAGGGUUACCGGCGACAUGGGGACUGAGAGACGGACCAGAAGCGUACGGGAGGCAGCAGGGGGGAAUAUUGCACAAUGGGCGGAAGCCUGAGGCAGAAACGCUGCGUGCGGGAUGACGGCCUUCGGGUGGAAAACCGAUGUGGACUGUGACGAAGAGUGAGUGACGGUAAUGGGUAAAGAAGCACCGGCUAACUACGUG
rnacentral:rRNA from 1 species